rnacentral:lncRNA from 1 species
UGCAAAAUAGAUGACAUACAUUUUACAUUAAAUCAUGUGACAUGUACGGUAAAAAUGCUAGGUAGAAACUCCUUCCAACUUAUGGAACUAAGUUGGCAAGGUCUAGAAAUCCUUUUUCAUAACUACUCUAUGCAUGCUUACAAUGAAUAUAUUGGAACAUCAGGGGUCUCUUGAAAAUCCUAUUACAGACACUACAAUCUGAAGGUCCCAUGUUCCUUCCAAAUUAUGGACGGCAACUCUAGAUCUGCAAAUCGGUAACUGUACCUCUGAAUGGUAGAGCUGAGAUCUGGACACACAACCUAGACAAUCCAAGGGUUCUGUCUACCUUUGAUCUGAAAAUUAAGAUAGUUAUUUAAUCUAAAAAGAAAGCCAAUAAAUAGGUAUUAGUAAGUUACCUUGUAUGUGGGAUUUGACCCCAUGCCUAACGCUCCUCUACUGACAAGGGCCCAAGUUAGAGAGAGAGAGAGAGAGAGAGAGAGCUGAGAGUAGAAAAACAGAGAGAAAGGUGGAUAUGGGGUUGUGUUUGUCCAGCCAGGAGCAAGGAUAAAGCGAGAGAGAGAGAGAGAGAGACUCAAGGAGUAGGCCGUGCAAUUGAUGAGCCGAUGGAGAUCGGUAAGGUAGCAAAGCACCCUAUCCCCAUGUCCCCUUUCCUAGACAUCGUUGUGGGUGGUGGCUAUUCAGCC